UCUUGAACUCUUGGCCUCAAGUGAGCUGCGAGCACCUUGGCCUCCUAAACUCCUGGGAUUAUAGGGGUGAGCCACUGUGCCCAUCUUGAAGAACAUUUUAAAAUAACAAAUCCUAGAAGUUUCUCUAGCCCCUGUGAUAUUGACCAGUUGCUUGGUAUAUUAGUCUGUUUUCUUGCUGCUGAUAAAGACAUACCAGUGGCUGGGCACAGUGGCUCAUGCAUGUAAUGCCAGCACUUUGGGAGACUGAGGUGGGUGGAUCACCCGAGGUCAGGAGUUCUAGACCAGCCUGGCCAAUAUGGCAAAAGCCCAUCUCUACUUAAAAUACAAAAAUUAGCUAGGCAUGGUGGAACGUGCCUGUAAUCCUAGCUACUUGGGAGGCUGAGGUAGGAGAAUCACUUGAACCUGGGAGGCAGAGGUUGCAGUGAGCCAAGAUUGUGCCAUUGCACUCCAGCCUGGGUCACAGAGUGAGACUCCAUCUCAAAACAAACAAAAAAAAAGAGGAGAAAGGAAGAAAUAUGUUUUUCCUUAAUUCUUACUCGAUGAGCUCAUAUCGUGUUCACGUGAUUAGCUGUGGUGCCUUCAGCUGCCCCUGAAGUAGAACAUUUUACUCUAACUCUCAACCUUAACACCACAUCAACUUACAUACAAACAGGUACAUACUUAUUUCCUUUCUAACAUCAUUAGUCUUAGUUUUUGGAAUGCCGAGACUGCAGGCUUUAAAAAUAUAACUUAGGGUUAGGCAUGGUGACUCAUGCCAGCACUUUGGGAUGCCAAGGUGGGAGAAUUGCCUAAGUCCAGGAGUUUGAGACCAGCCUGGGCAACAUAGCAAGAUCCUGCCUCUACCAAGCAUGGUGGCACACACCUGUAGUUUCAGCUGCUCGGGAGGCUGAGGUAGGAGGAUCGCUUGAGCUUGCAGUGAGCCAUGGUUACCCCACUACAUUCUAGCCUGGACAGUGGAGAGGAACCAUGUGUUGAAAAAAAAAGAAAAAAGAAAGAAAGAAAAAGAAAAGAAAGAAAAAAACAGCACUUAAAAAUAUUUUUAACUGGGCAUGGUGCCUCAUGCCUGUAGUCCCUUCACAUUGGAAGGCCAAGGUGGGUGGAUCACUUAAGGCCAGGAGUUUGAGACCAGCCUACUCAACAUGGCAAAACCCUGUUUGUUAUUUUUUGUUUUUGUUUUUGGUUUUAAGGUAGAGUUUUGCUCUUGUUACCCAGGCUGGAGUGCGAUGGCGCGAUCUUGGCUCACCGCAACCUCCGCCUCCUUGAUUCAAGUGAUUCUUCUGUCUCAGCCUCCCGAGUAUCUAGGACUACAAGUGCCUGCCACCACACCUAGCUAAUUUUUUGUAUUUUUUGGAGAGAUUGGGUUUCACCAUGUUGGCCAGGCUGGUCUUGAACUCCUGACCUCAGGUGAUCCAUCUGCCUCAGCCUCCCAAAAUGCUGGGACUACAAGCAUGAGCCACUGUGCCUGGGCAAAACCCCAUUUCUACUAAAAAUACAAAAAUUAGCCUGGCAUGGUGGUGUGUGCCUGUAAUCCCAGCUACUCAGGAGGCUGAGGCAGGAAACUCACUUAAACCCGGGAGGUGGAGUUUGCAGCAAGCCAAGAUUGUGCCACUGCACUCCAGCCUAGGCUACAGGGAGAGCCAAGAUUGUGCCACUGCACUCCAGCCUAGGCAGAGAGAUACCCUGUCUCCAAAAACAAAAAUGUUUAUGUAUAUUUUGAAAGUGUUCACACAUAAAUGGAGCAACUCAUUUAGAAGAAAGGGAAAGGGCUGGAAGCCAAGCACUGGCGUUUCCACCAAGGCUGAGCAUUCUUAUAUGGAGACCCUGCCGAACUGCCUUUCUUGGGCUGCAUAUUUUCAUGCUACCCAAGGAAGCAUGAAAGGAAUCAUGUGUUGAAAAAAAAAAGAAAAAAGAAAGAAAGAAAAAGAAAAGAAAGAAAAAAACAGCACUUAAAAAUAUUUUUAACAUCAUACGUUUGGUGAAACAACUCAGCUACACCCUUUCAGUGGGGGUUGAAGAUGAAUCAGCCUGUGAUGUUGUAAUUCAGACAAAAUCGAGUUUUUUUCCCCCCCAGGCAGUCAUUCUAAAAUGCCCAAGGAAAUGAAGCCCCUUAGCCCCCUGGCUCCGAUCUGUGCCAGGUUUUGCACCAAUACGGAGAGCCCAUUCUGCAGGACUUGCCCCUCAAGCUAAGGAUCUUCCUGAAACGCAUCUCCGCAGACCCUCAACUCAAAAAACUCACCUCUGCGGAAGACAGAACAUUGUGUAGCAUUUUGUCUUCAGCUUUUAUUCUAUAAAAAUCAAACUUCAGAUAUGAACAUUCUUUUAAACUAUAGAUUCAUUGAACUACAAAGGACCAGAAGAACUCUGAUUGAUCCAAUUAGGACUUAUCCAGAGAAUAAGAAUCUAAUCUGCACUUAACCUUUUAAAAAGAAAUUUUUCACGGGCAAAGGGAUCUGAAUAGGCAUUUCUCCAAAGAGAAUAUAAAAUACCAAAUAAGCCCAUGCAAAGAUACUCAUGCUUGGGAGGCUGAGGCAGGAGAAUUGCUUGAACCCAGGAGGUGGAGGUUGGAGGAUGCAGUGGGCUGAGAUCGUGCCACUGCACUCCAGCCCGGGUGACAGAGCAAGACUCUGUCUCAGGAAAAAAAAAAAAGAUGCCAAACAUUAGUCAUCAGAGAAAUGCAAAUCAAAACCACAAUGAGAUACCACUUCAUACCAACGAAAAUGGCUGUAAUCAAAAAGUCAUAAUAAUCAUGUUGGUGGGAAUGAGGAGAAAUUGGAAUCCUCUUAAGCUGCUGGUGGGAAGUGAAGUAGUGUAGCUGAUUUGGAAACCGGUCUGGCAGUUCCUUGAAAAGUUAAACAGAUUUCCAUUUACCCAGCAAGUCCACUCUUUGGUAUAUACCCAGGAGAGUAUAUACCAACUACUUGGGAGGCUGAGGUGAGAGGAUCACUUGAGUGUGGGAGGUCAAGGUCGCAGUGAGCUAUGAUUGCACCACUACACUCCAGCAUGGGCAACAGAGUGAGACCCUGUUUCUAAAAAAAAUUUUAAAAAGUACAAAUAACCCAAAUGCCCAUCAACUGAGGAAUGGAUAAAUAAAAUAUGGUACAUGCAUCCAUUAGAAUAUUAUUUAGAUAUAAAAAGAAAUAUGAAAUGCUGAUACAUGCUACAACAUUGGAUAAACGGUUUUAUUUUUAAAAAUUUAUUCUUUUUUGAGAUGGAGUCUAACUGUCACCCAGGCUGGAGUACAGUUCUGUGAUCUCUGCUCACUGCAUCCUCCGCUUCCUGGGUUCAAGUGAUUCUCCUGCCUCAGCCUCCUGAGUAGGUGGGAUUACAGGUGCCUGCCACCAUGCCUGGCUAAUUUUUGUAUUUCUAGUAGAGACUGGGUUUCACCGUAUUAGUCAGGCUGGUCUCGAUCUCCUGAUCUCAGGUCAGGGGGCAAUCCGCCCACCUUGGCCUCCCAAAAUGCAGAGAUUACGGGCAUAAGCCACUGUGCCUGGCCUUGGAUGAAUUUUAAAAACAGUACACUAAGGGAAAGAAGGCAGACACAAAAGAUUACAUACCAUAUGAUUUAAUUUAUAUGAACUAGAAUAGGCAAAUCUAUAGAGACAAAUUUGAUUAAUGGUUGCUUAGGGCUAGUGUAGCUGGGGAUGGGGCAGAAGAAUCAUAGCUAAAGGGUUUUUUUUUUAAUUGAUAAAAGUGUUCUCACGUGAAUUAUAUCUAUGGUUGCACAGCUAUGAAUAUACUAUAAACUAUGAAGUGUGCUUUAAGUGAGUGAGUUGUAAGAUUUGUGAAUUAUAUCUCAAGAAGAAAGAAAGAAUGAAAAAGAAAUUCCUCCAGGUUUCUUUCUGCCUGCCAGAAAAUUAUUUCUAUUUCUUUUUCUUUCUUUCUUUUUUUUUUGAGACAGGAUCUUGCUCUGUGACCCAGGCUGGAGUGGAGUGGUGUGAGCAUGACUCACUGCAGUCUUGACUCUCGGGCUUGGAGUGGUCCUCCUACCUCAGCCUCCCAAGUAGCUGAGACUGCAGGUGUGAGCCACCCAUGUCCGGAGCUUCUUAACCAUUCUGGGCCUCAGAUUCUUCACCUAGAAAAUGAGACUGGUGGACUAGAUCUCAAAGACCCCUUCCAGGUCUGAGUUCUGUGAUGAAUGUCGGCAUCCUUUGAGAAAGCAUGAACAUUUAAAAAUGAGGACACUCUUCUGAACCAUGGAAGGCAAAACUGUAAUCAGCUAUGAAAAGAAGCUGGAAACAGACUGAGCUAAGCCUUGGACUGAAGAAAGGAAGAGCCAUGCCUGCUGAAUUGGGAAAGAGCAGGGAAUGAAGGGAAAGGAGUCACAGACUAAGGGUUAGUGAUCAGAAUACACAAGAAUUCUUACAAAUUUGUAAGGAAAAGAUGCACCACUCAAUAGAAAAUGGUCAAAAACCUGAACUGACAUUUCAUAACAGACAUGAUCCAAAAUGAAACAAUGCUCAACCAAAAAGUAGUCAGAGAAAUGCAAAUUCAAGCUACAAGACACAAUUAUGCACCCACCAGAAUGGCCAAAUCUGCCUUUCGAAGCUCAACAAAGCAACAAGAACUUACCUAUACCACCAAUAAAAGUGAAAAAUGGUACAAACCUUUGGG